AUACGGAGGGUGCAAGCGUUAUCCGGAAUCAUAGGGUUUAAAGGGUCCGUAGGCGGACUAUUAAGUCAGAGGUGAAAUCCCACAGCUCAACUGUGGAACUGCCUUUGAUACUGGUAGUCUUGAGUUAUAUGGAAGUAGAUAGAAUGUGUAGUGUAGCGGUGAAAUGCAUAGAUAUUACACAGAAUACCGAUUGCGAAGGCAGUCUACUACGUAUAUACUGACGCUAAGGGACGAAAGCGUGGGGAGCGAACAGGAUUAGAAACCCCAGUAGUCC
rnacentral:rRNA from 1 species